rnacentral:rRNA from 1 species
UACGUAGGGGGCAAGCGUUGUCCGGAAUCAUUGGGCGUAAAGCGCGUGUAGGCGGCCAGAUAAGUCCGUUCUGAAAGCCCGGGGCUCAACCCCGGGAGGCGGAUGGAUACUGUUUGGCUCGAGUCCGGAAGAGGCGAGUGGAAUUCCCGGUGUAGCGGUGAAAUGCGCAGAUAUCAGGAGGAACACCAAUUGCGAAGGCAGCUCGCUGGGACGUUACUGACGCUGAGACGCGAAAGCGUGGGGAGCAAACAGG